rnacentral:rRNA from 1 species
UACAGAGGGUGCGAGCGUUAAUCGGAAUUACUGGGCGUAAAGCGCGCGUAGGCGGCUUAUUAAGUCAGAUGUGAAAUCCCCGGGCUCAACCUGGGAACUGCAUCUGAUACUGGUAAGCUAGAGUUUUGGAGAGGGAAGUAGAAUUUCAGGUGUAGCGGUGAAAUGCAUAGAGAUCUGAAGGAAUACCAGUGGCGAAGGCGACUUCCUGGCCAAAAACUGACGCUGAGGUGCGAAAGCGUGGGUAGCAAACAGGAUUAGAAACCCCAGUAGUCC